rnacentral:rRNA from 1 species
AUGCUUAACACAUGCAAGUCGAACGAGAAAGUACCUUCGGGUGCGAGUAAAGUGGCGGACGGGUGAGUAACGCGUGGGAAUCUGCCUAGUAGUGGGGGAUAACAAUCGGAAACGGUUGCUAAUACCGCAUGUACCCUACGAGGGAAAGGCUUCGGCCGCUAUUAGAUGAGCCCGCGUAAGAUUAGCUUGUUGGUGGGGUAAAGGCCUACCAAGGCGAUGAUCUUUAGCUGGUCUGAGAGGACGAUCAGCCACACUGGGACUGAGACACGGCCCAGACUCC